UGCUUGGCGCCCAUUUUGUUUUGGGGCACAGUUCUCUGUACAGCUAUGGAAGGUCCCACUUUCCGUCGCUGCGUUAAGUUCUGGCAAAGCUCUCGGAGGUCGCCUGAGAUCGAGGCCAGACUCGGCUCGGGAGCCGGGCUGGCGAGGCUGGGUCUUCCGAGUUCCUCCGAGGCUCGGCCGAGCGUCCGGCGUUUCUCUAGUUUGGGCUUUCACAGCCAAGGGCUAAAUGAUGGGAGAGGGAAAAAGUUAAAGCUCCUCUGCCCCUCCCCUUCUCCCCCAUCUCCACGGUUUCUUAGAUUUGAAUUAUGUUGGAAUCAAUAUCAAUGUGGUCUAACAAUCUUGUUAAGAUGAGGAAACUGAGGCAGAAGUUAAAUAACAACUAUGGUCACACAGCUAUGAAUGUCUGAGGCUACACUUAAACUCAUCUCCCUAUAUCUACUACCUUAUCUACUACCUGGCUGCGUCUGUAUGGAGAGAAAGUGGAAUCAAAAAAGACACCUAGAUUGUGAGCCUAGGUGACUUGGAUGGCAUCUUCAACAGCAAUAGUUUCUCCCGAAAAGAAAGACCCAUUUUUUCACAUCAGUUUUCUUCUAGAGAUGUUCUAAGUCUAUAAAUCAUGCAAUACUAUGGUCCCCAAAGAAUUAUUGUGCAAGACAUCCAACAUGCAAGGGAAAGCUGUGCUAUCAUAUGGACUCUUUUAAAAGUAUUUCCUGUUAUGAGGAGUUACCAGUUUACUUUAGAUUGAAGGUCAAACUUUCCGGAUCUGCUUUGACUUGAAAGUAAUAACCAUUUACAAGUGAG
rnacentral:lncRNA from 1 species